rnacentral:rRNA from 1 species
UACGUAGGGUGCGAGCGUUUGUCCGGAAUUAUUGGGCGUAAAGAGCUCGUAGGCGGUUUGUCGCGUCGGGAGUGAAAUCCACUGGCUUAACUGGUGGCUUGCUUUCGAUACGGGCAGACUGGAGGUAUGCAGGGGAGAACGGAAUUCCUGGUGUAGCGGUGAAAUGCGCAGAUAUCAGGAGGAACACCGGUGGCGAAGGCGGGUCUCUGGGCAGUGAACUGACGCUGGAGGAGCGAA